GACGAACGCUGGCGGCAGGCCUAACACAUGCAAGUCGAGCGGAGCGGCGGACGGGUGAGUAAUGCCUAGGAAUCUGCCUGGUAGUGGGGGAUAACGUCCGGAAACGGGCGCUAAUAUCGCAUACUAUCAGAUGAGCCUAGGUCGGAUUAGCUAGUUGGUGGGGUAAAGGCCUACCAAGGCGACGAUCCGUAACUGGUCUGAGAGGAUGAUCAGUAAAACUGGAACGGGGCACCGGUCCGACCUCCACCGGGAGGCAGCAGUGGGGAUUAUGGAACAAUGGGCGAAAGCCGGUGCCAGCCAUGCGGCGUGUGGGAAGAAGGUCUUCGGAUUGUAAAGCCCUUUAAGUUGGGAGGCGUUACCAGCAGAAUAAGCACCGGCUAACUUCGUGCCAGCCGCCGCGGUAAUAC
rnacentral:rRNA from 1 species